rnacentral:lncRNA from 1 species
AAAAGAUUUCAGUGUUGCUGCUAGUGAAAUGAAAAAAAUAUCAGCUUUAAAAUGCUGAUGUGCUCUGCUGGCCAGCAUCCUGAUGCAAGGAAAACUUCCAAUCUGAAAGCACCAAUGUGUAAAAAGCCCUCUUGCCAACAUUUUGGUUGAGGGGCUUUUUCCUUGCCUGCAUCCUGCAGAAAGGAAUUGUUUCCUAUCUGUGCUAACUACUUGUCAUGGUUUUGUGAUUUUUGUUGUCAGUAUUCCACAUCAUAACAUCAUGUAAAGCACUGGCAGUUAGAGAGUUAAUUCCCUGGCUACUGCAAACUGCCUUUUUUGGUGUGUGGCCCUCGGAGGGGGAUGGGAGGAGGUGCACUGCCCAGGGGUCCUUGCGUUGGAAGGGGUGGUGAGGCUGCCUGGGAGACGCAGGGCCUGUUCCUUCCUGCCCGGUGGAGAAGCACGUGGUCCUCCUGCAGUUUACUGUGAAAGACUCUCGGCUUGUAAACUGUCUCUCUGUUACGGUUUAACUGGCCUCAAUUUCGAGUUUAGUAAAAUUAGUUGUUCCUCCUCAGAUUGGUGCCUCUGCUUUUAGAUCUGCCUACGAGUCCCCUGCCUUUCCCCUCUUCCCUUUGUUUUCCCCAGGGUGUGGGUCCGCGGCUUCCCUGCCGCUUUAGCCGCCGGACCGCUCAGGGCCGGCCCCUACUGGCUGACAAAUUUUUUUCCUCUUUUCCCUUUUUUUUCUUUCAGGCCUGUCCCCCUUGUCACGGAUGCAGACCCUUAAAUAAUACCGUGACACUACUGCAAACAGGAAAAUGUGCAUGCUGAACAGUGACAGUCAUGACCUUUACUGCUGCUGCCAUGCUGCUCAUGCAGGAGCUAGCAAGGCAUCUUCUCUCAUAAAUCAGUUGAGUUGUGUAUAGAUCCUUAAAAGCAGCUGUAAAAAAAAUUAAACUGUAUGGACGUGGCUCUUGGAAGUCAGCCCCAGACAAACGCAUCUCACAAGUGUCACUCAGGUUGGAGUAGAUGGGAGUGUGUGCCCAGGAACUUGCCUCUGCCUUUGGAGAGGGGCAGACCGACAGCUGGGAAGGAGAUGUUCAGCGCAUCAAGAAAGGAUUGUUGAGUCCAUUGCAUUCUGCCCACAGAAUAUUAUAAAUGUGCAACUGAGCAACAAACAUCUGGAAAACUCUUCUGAGCCUUUAUGGCUUAGAAGGAACGUACAAGGAUUCAAAUGCUGUCCCAUGGGGAGAAGGAAAGGAAACAAACUGCAGCUCCAGAUAAAACCAAAACAAAACAAAAAACGGAGAUCCUCACGAGUGCGGAGGGGGCAGUUUUGUGACAAAAGGCCUUGUGCUGAGCUUAGGUUGGUACCCAAUAAAUUAUAGAAAAGAAAACCAAA